rnacentral:rRNA from 1 species
CAUCCUAGGGGGCGCAGCAGGCGCGAAACCUUUACAAUGCCGCUCAACGGCGAUAAGGGGACCUCGAGUGCCGCGAUACAAUCGCGGCUGUCUAGUUGCCUAAAAAGCAAUUGAUAGCAAGGGCCGGGCAAGACCGGUGCCAGCCGCCGCGGUAACACCGGCGGCUCGAGUGGUAACCGCUAUUAUUGGGUCUAAAGGGUCUGUAGCCGGCUUAGUUAGUCUCUUGAGAAAUCUGGCCGCUCAACGGUCAGGCGUUCAGGGGAUACUGCUAAAGCUCGAGACCGGGAGAGGUGAGAGGUACUUCAGGGGUAGGGGUGAAAUCUUGUAAUCCAAUC